UGAUGCAUGUUAUGGUAAGCUAAUGUCAUAAAGAGAUAUUAGGCUUGAAAUUAGUAUAGUAAGCUAAUGUCAUAAAGGGGCAUUAGGCUUGGAUUAUGUGUGGACUUGGUAAACCUAAUGUUAUAAAGUGACAUUAACGUUGGAACAAGAUUUUGGCAUAAUGUGAUAUAAUGCCAUAAAGGGGCAUUGGACAUAAUGAAUGGUUAAACCUUCACUUGGGACAUUGAAUUAGACCUAUGAAUUGCUAGCGAUUAUUUCCAUGGUAGAGCCAUGAUGACUGGAUCGUUGAGACGAUGACUUUGCUUGCUUGCCAUUUGUGCUCAUUCGCACAUGCUUGUGAGGGUCGCUCCUUACAAGCCGGCACUCCGGAGUUGGCCUUUUUGCCACGCAGUUCGCGCGUGCGGGAUUGAGACGCCUGUAGGGUCGCGUGGGACAGCCUUAUUCCAGCUUGGGAUGAUGUGCUACCACGGGCAGCUAGGCGGCAAGGCGCCUGUAGGGUCGUGUGGGACAGUCCCGUUCCUCGAGGGGGAAUGUUGGUACUACCACCGGCAGCUAGGCGGCACAAGCUGGACUACCUUGGAUAGGUCCUUAAUUGAAAAUAAAAAUCGACACGGAGUCGUUUAUGUAAUAAUCAGUACUUGAUAGUAAAUCGUAGUUGGAUUCAAUGGAUAUUGGGACAUAUAGUAUACUUGGUCUCUAUGAUAGUGCAUACUAGAUAUGUAUUGGACACUUGGACAUGUAGUAUACUUAGUAGUAUUGCUUAUUGCAUUUUAGUGUACUUGGGUGCCGUGAUAGAGCAUACUAGACAUGUUUUGGCAUAUUGGAUCAUGAUAGAGUAGAUGUACUCCAUGUUCAUAUCAUGUAUAUUUGUGGCAUAGUAGUAUGGCUUUUAUUAUAUGCUUUCUUUUCCGCAGUUAUUAUUAUCCAUAUCUGCUUAUGUUUUGGGCCUAGUGGUGCAUUUUGCUCAGGUCAGUAAUUGCCUAUUGGGAACUAUAAAUUAUAGUUCUCACGCCCCCUGUUUUAUGAUUUCUUUCAAAGCCUUCCACUCCGGAAGAGGCUCGGGAUUGCGGGAAAGGUAUCGCCUCGAGUUAGCUUGUGAGGGGUUCGGCGAUUAGUGGUCCACCUCUCUUUUGAGUUUUGUUUUGGGGAGGUUGAGAGAGACUUGUACCAUUUUGUAGAGACCACCCCAUACUUGUAUCUUGAGAUUUAUGUUGUAUUAAGUUUACUUCUUACUGUAAUGAUUUUGUUUCUGUUGAUUCUAUUUGUUAGUAGAACCUAGCUGUAUACUGCUCUGAUAUCUCUAGAUACUCUCCGUUUUUUGUUUAUUUAUUCGCUAUUGUUGUAGACGCCUUAUAUGUGUAGAUAUAUGGCGGAUCUGAGCACGCACCGGGCAGGCUUAUGCCGGGUCCCGGGGCGUGACAGAAGGCCACCAACAUGCAAAGGGAAGCAAAGUGGAGAGAUCAACCUCAAAAUCCAAAGCAAAAAAGAGGAAAAAAGAAAAAGGAAAAUGAAAAGGAAUCCUACCUCUUCUCCUCUCUGGUUGCAGCACAAAAAUCCCCCUCAAAGGUGUGGAGGUUUAUUUAUAGAAAUACUACAAUCUCAAAAAGACUCCUAAAAAACGUGCAGACUGCACUCUGAACUGCAUACUGGUACACGGGAUAGAGUACCGGUACCACGCAGCUGCACGCGCAAACCCGAGCCUCGAUUAAGUGAGAAAUUACACAGGGUAUCGGUACCCACGCAAUGUAGUACGGGUACCAGGUCCAGUACCGGUACUCGGGCGAUGCAGUACCGGUACUCUGCCACGCAGAGCUUAAACCCGAGAGCACACCUCUCGGUCACGUGGUGCGGUUCCGGUACCCCUUCCAUGGUAACGGUAACCAGGACCCCAAAACCUGCAGUUUGGAGGUUUAGGUGCUAAGUACCAACCCUCUCUCCUCAAGACGCGAGUAAUAGGUCGGAACACCGUCAACGAUCCUCAAGAAUAAUACCAGGAAUAGUUCAAAUUAAUAUUCUAACACUAGAACCUUACAAUUUGCUAAAGUUCAGUGUGUUACACCCCGGGACCCAACGGAAGACCGCUCGGUGGGUGUCCAGACCCACCAUAUGCUUACAACAUAUAAGGCGUCUACAACAAUGCAGUAAAUAGAGCAAGAGAAAAUAAGCAUCUAGUGUGAUAUCAGGGCACGAAUACAACUAAAUUCUAAUAACAAGUGGAAAUAUAAAAGAACUAAUCAACUAUCAUAAUCCAUGAAGUAAAACAUACAACUGAGAUCCAAAAACAUAGCACUAGAUACAAAAAUGGUGGUCUCUAUACAUAGGGUACAAAACAUCUCUCCACAACUAAAACCAAAAAGAGAGAUGACCACAUAAUACAACCACCGAUCUGUCUAGCUAGAGGCAACUCCCUUGCCGCGGUCCCUAGCCUCUCCCAGCAUGGAAGGCUUUGUAACAAAAAUAACAAUACAAUGGGAAUGAGAACUAUUAGUCAAUAGUUUUCAGUGGGUAAGCCGCCGACAUCAGCGAAAUACACCACUAGGUCAGGGAGGCAUAAGUAGUAUAUGUAUAACUGAAAUAAACAACAUCGAUAAUUAGCAUGAAAUGGAAUCUACUAACUACUUUGCCUCUACUUUAACGUGAAGUUUCACAUGUAUAAGUGCUAUUUAACAUGAAUGAGUAUGUACAACUAGUAUGCACUAACUAGUAUGAUGUCGACUUUUCAUUUUUGUUUAUCAUUGUUCUAAUCAACUAGGACCUACACAAGUGUAAUCCGGCUUGCGCCGUGCCUAAUGGCCCUGUGGUCGUCAACAUUCCCACUAUAGGAAUGAGCCUCCCCCACGGUAUUCCAUUUUGACGCCCAAUCCUGCACGGGCGAGCUUGUGUCGCAUUGGCUAUCUCCGGAGUGCCGGCUUGUGGGGAGCAACCCUCACAAGCAUGUGCGAAUGAGUACAAUAGCUGUAAUACACUGACUCUAGCAAAUUGCGGAGUCCGAGUGUGUGGAAUGAGUUGUGGAACUAUCCUACAUGUUCUAAAGGACUUCGACAAGUUUUUUGGACAAGUUAGAGAUUGAUUGGAAUGCUAAAAGUGAGAAAGUGCAUUGAUUGGGCGAAAUCAGCCUUUUCUGCUUGGUGUACCGGUACAGCCAUUAUGGUGUACCGGUACACAAUGGGAAAACAUGGCAGCAGGGCUAUUUUGGUAAUUUCACACUUUGAUCCUAUCUAUUUCAGUCCAGCACGACUCCUGGGGCUCAGUGGAGGUUGCUGGAGACCAGAGAAGCAACCUUGCACCAUUCUCUCUUUCUCUCUCUAGGAUUUUUCUCUCUCUAGAUAAAAGUCGCCGUUUCGCGCCGAUUUCGCGCCGCGCUCGACUCUCGCUGGUUAGACGACUCAAGGGAAGUCUUUGGAACGUGGGAAAGAAGGGUUUUAUUGUGUUUGCUGUGAGGUUACUGCCAGGGAAGCUAACUCUCAGCUUUAGAGAGGUAACUAACUUGAUUUCUCUCGAAAUUUUGGUUUAGUCUCGAAUUUGGAGUCGUGUUGGCUUUCUUUGCUACCAAUGAAUUAGAGGCUGUUUUUUUUAACAUUAAAGAUGACUUAAGUAGCUGUGAUUUAGCCCAGGGAUAAGCUGAUUUGCUACUUGAAUAAAGUAAUGCGUAUUUAUGAUGCGAAUUCGGAACGAUACGAAGUUUAAUUGCAUAAUUGAUGCAAAUUGGGGAUUUUUCUUCGCAGCAGGUCUUCGAGCUUCAUUGAGCUGAAUUCGUACUCUUAGAAGCUGAUUUGGAAGGUAUUCUAACCUGAGGUAAGCAGGAAUUUCAGUUAGAAAACUGAAUUCGCAAGAUUCCGACUAUAUUUGCUAUAUAUGUUGAUAUUGAUGCCGUCUCGAUGUUGUUCGCAGCGAGAGUGCGAACGAGCCUUGGAUCGUCGUGAGCUGACUUGUGAGAGCUCUUGGAGACUUAUCUUGAGGUAUUACACUAGCCCAAAACUGGGAGUUAAGGGGUUACUUUGUACUAAGUGCAAAUUAGGCCGAAAUCGGACAUUUCGGUCGUCUUUUUGACACGGUGUGAUGUUUGUUUUUCAGCAGCAUUGGGGCUUCGUUAAGACGAUUUUGGGACCUCUUUUGGACUGCUUGGAGCUUAGUAAUAGGUGGGUCGGACCUAACCAGAGCAAGUGAAGCUCCUCUAUGUUCUAUAUGUAUUAUAGAAAUGUGUUAGUUGUGUGCUUAUGUGAUAGCUAAAGGGCUUGAGAAUUCGUCAUCAUAACAUUUACUAUAUUGACAUAGAAUCUCUAUGAAGUAGAGAAUCCUCACGCCUAAAUGUAUUCAUAUUCCUGUUUGGUUUAGUUGAAUAACAAUGAGACACGUUAUUAUGCUUAUGAAACGUAGAGAACAAUGACAUUCUCUUUUUACUCGCUUGAUUACAAGUAGAGAACAAUGACAUUCUCUUGACUCUGAAGUAGAGAACUAUGACAUGCUUGUGCCUAUGUUGAUAGUGCCAUGAUAGUGAAAGAUUCUAAUGCCAUAUGUAAAUUAGCAUUACUCCUGCAUGCUUACUAAACUAGUGGAUUCUAGUUGUUGUUAAUAUUUGUUAUACUGAAAUGCCGAUCAAAGGAUCGAGAGCGAGAACAUUGCAAAUGAAAACAUGAGAAUUGAGACAUGUGGACAGUGAAAUAUGCUUGCUUGCCAUUGUGCUUAUUCGCACACGCUUGUGAGGGUCGCUCCCUACAAGCCGGCACUCCGGAGUUGGCCUACGCGACAGUUGCUCGCCCGUGCGGGAUUGGGUGCCGAAGUGGAUUGCCGUGAGGAGUGUUUACUACCACGGGGUCAUUAGGCGCGGCGCAAGCUGGACUACCUUGGAUAGGUCCCUGUGAAUGAAAGGAAAGUACUAAAUGAAAAAGGACAGUAAUGAAUGUUUAUUACUUAAAGUGUACAGUAGUCACUUUUAUGUUCGUGCUUAUACUCAUGUCUAUGUUCAUGAUUACAGAAGUUGUUAUAUCUCUUUUAUGCAAAUGGUUCAUUACUGUAGAAAGCUAUUACAUGUUGAUUACAUGUUUAUUACUUAUUAGCAUCAUGCUUAUAAAUCAUGCAAUUAUUGUUUUUGCUUUCAUUUAGUACAUCUUGAGCCUAGUGGUGUAAUUCGCCGAGGCUGGCGGCUUACCCACUGGGAACUAUUGUUAAUAGUUCUCACGCCCUUUUGGUGGUUGUUUUUACAGAGCCAUUUACAGGAGAGGCUAGGGAUCGUGGCAAGGGAGUCGCGCCUAGCUAGGGACUACUAGGAGCGUGCUAGUCGAUCACCUUGUUACUCGGGCUACGGCCGAGGGUGAUGUCCCUUUGUAUAGAGAAACCACCAUUGUACCUAUUUUUGUAUACCUGUGAUGUAUAUUUUUACUUUCGGGGAUGAGAUUAUAGUGGUGUUACUUCUCCUUUUUGCUGAGAUCUUGGUUUGUAUACUUUUUGUAUUUUGACUGGGAUUGGAUACUCGUUGUAUUUCGACUUGUACUUUGCUCUGAUAUCAGGAUAGGACUUUUUGUUUUACUUCCUAUCGACUUGUUGCUUGUAGACGCCUUAUAUACUGCAGGUGUAUGGCGGGUCUGUGCACGUACCGGAUAUGCUUCCGCUGGUACCCGGGCGUGACAAUAGCAAGCAAGCAUAAUAUCCAUCCCAAGUCCACUGUCAUCAUAUCUAAAAUAUGGUAUAAAUGCUAAUGACCCAACGGUCUAUCUCUAUGUCAACAAGUAAAGGUUUAACUAUUUACUAAGUCAAGUGUCACUAUAUGACGUUAUUGUUCAUUAUGUGAAGUAUGAGUUCUAUGUCCAAGAGUAUAUAUAAUUUGUCAAUUUCACUAAAUGAAACAUGAUUCCAAUCAUAGAUAAAGGGUGCCAUUAACAUGCAAGUUUACUAUAUACUUGUCUCUCUACUACAUAGAGAUUGUAAAGCAUGAUACAUAGCAUAGGUAUUUUAAGCAUUCAAAAAUUCAUUUGUGCUCUAUCUAGCAUGAUUAUGCAUGAUUUUUUAUUUUACAAUAAAGAAUAUAAUAUAGGGGAGUUCACCCAUUUCGGUGAGAUCAAACCCACCGGAUACCCCUCGAAUCCCCUUUAUUUGUGCGAACGAGGAUGCCCACUAGUCUCCUAGCUCCCUAACAAAGAUUCUAAGAGGGUUAGGGGUUUCGAACGAACACCCCACAAGAUUCACAAAAUCUAACCCAUAAAUAGGUAGAAAUUUACCUUAUAUGGUGAAGAACUCUUCCAAUCUCCAAAUGAGAGCUAGAAAUACUUCUAAUCCAACUUAAAGGAAGGCAUUAGAACCAACAAUUUAGCCCCUAAGGCCCUAGCAAGAAAAUUCCCAAAAUAAAACCCUAGUUUCCAAAACUAAGUUUUCAUCUCCAAAAAUCCAACAAAGCAUGAUCCAAAAGGAAGAUCAAAGCUACUAACCUUUUUUGAAGCUCCAAACCUAGUUAGAAAGGUAUUAGGGUUGAAGAUCUAUCCUUAAACAAGCUCAAAUCCUUCACUUCAAGGCUUCUCCAUGGUCCAAAUAGCAACCUACAUGAACAAGAAGCAAAAGAGAGGAGAUCAAACCUUGAAAUCUCAAGCAAAAGAGAGGAAAAAAUCAAAGAGAAAAGGAAGAGGAAGCUUACCUCUUCUCCUCUCUAGUUCCAGCACAAAAGACCCUAGCAAAGGGUGUGGGGUUAUUUAUAGAAUUGCUACAAUUCAAAAAAGACUUCUAAAAAACAUGCAAUCUGUGAACUGCACUGCGUACCGGUACGCGAGCUGGAGUACCGAUACCUCGCAGCUAAACGUGCAAACCCGAGCCUCUGCCAAGCGAACAACGCGCAGGGUACUAGUACCCGCGGGAUGCAGUACCGGUACCAAGUCUAGUACCGGUACUUGCGCGAUGCAGACCGGUACUCUGCCUCGCAGAGCUCAAACCCGAGAGCACCCCUCUCGGUCACGCGACGCGGUUCCGGUACCCCUUCUCUGGUCCCGGUACCUAGUACCCCAAAACCUGCAGUUUGGAGGUGUUAGGAGCCGAAUGCCUUGAUCCUUGACCCGGUCAAAGAUCUCUCUCGGGAAAGAGUGUAGGGAUGCGGAACGGCUGUGAAUGAUGACCUUUGAAGUUUGCGCCCAUCGACUGGAUCAAGCGAUUCGGCUGAUGAGAGAACGUAUCAGCGGAGUUCAGAAUCUUCUACUAUAGAUUCGGUUCGGCUGCAUGAGCCGAGUGUAUGGAAUACGCUGUGCUUUGGGUCGGCUGAAGAGUCGAAUGCUUUUAUGUAUUGGAAUUAACUUGCAAAAUAGUACAAGGGACGAGUGCGCUUGAGGGCAUACAGACUCGAUUGAUCUAACUUAAACUUACUCCUAGAAAAAUAGUAUGUGUGGAAAAGUAAAAGAUUACAAGUGGACUUGGUAAGGAAGUGAAUCCUCGAAAUUCGAGGAUUAGACUUCGAUUGGAGUCGACUACUCGUCGAGUGUGUAAGCUUCGGAAAGUCUGAAGGUUAUUAUAAUGCAUAAAGUGCAUUAAGGAAGGGUCCACGAGAGCACCAGUGCAAAAUCUGCACUGGAGCAGAAAUGCUCUCGGGGACGUGUCCCUGGCAUGGAGGGACCGGUUCCAUCAGGUUGGGCUGCGGGGGUCCUUGGUGAGACCGGUCCCUGGUAGCGAAGGACCGGUCCCCGAACGUUGGCCCAGCGAAAAUAGCCGAAAUUUGGCUAAGUCACAAAAAUCCAACUCUCGGGAACCGGUCUCUCGGACAAGGACCGGUCUCCCGGGGACCGGUCUCUCAGGCAAGGACCGGUUUCCGAACGCGAAAUCCCUUCUGCCGAGAUGGAAAGCUCUCGGGGACCAGUGUAGUGUCCGCAGGCGGUCUCGGGGUAGGUAAAUAGCUAGCCACCUCCCCUAUGAGACUUAGAGACGUGAGACUGUGAGCGAACCUUGCGUUCGCCGAGAGAUUGGGUAAUCGGAUGAAUUAUUUCGUUGUUAAGCAUGGUAGUAUGAUAGCCAGCCUUCUUACUAUGAGUUCCAUGCAUGCAUUACAUUGGAUUAAGGCAUUGAUAGAUCGUAGUUCAUAGCUGCUCAUUGCUGUUACUUGUCACGCCCGGAUACCAGCGGAAGCAUAUCCGGUUGCGUGCACAGACCCGCCGUGUACAUCUCAACUCAAGCAUACACCAGGCGUCUACAAUCAAAAUAAUAAAAGCAUACAAUUCUAAAUAGGUAAUCAGAGCAAGACUUAAAAGUUUAAACUUAGACAAUUCAAAACCUUAAUACAAUAAAUAAGAACAAAGUACAAUUUACAAAGACUUAAAAUACAACUCUGUACUAAACUACAUAAACUGAUGGAGGUCGUCUAGUACACAUCCAAAAAGGCUCUAGCUAGUCGCAGACCCCUCGCCAAGAACCCUAGCCUUUCCCGCUGUGGAAGGCUCUGUAAAAACAACAACAAAGAGGGCGUGAGAACUAUUAAACAAUAGUUCCCAGUGGGUAAGCCGCCGAGAGUGGCGAAGUACACCACUAGGUCAACUGUGGCAUGAGUAGGUAGCAAACAAUAAGCGAGUAAAUGCAGUUAAUGCAAUAAGCAAGUAAAUGUAACAGGUAUAAAAGUAACUACUCAUGCUAUUGCUCAAUAAUAAAUAAAUAUCGAUAGACUGCAGGUAUCAGUUGUUAUGAUAAAUUCUAUCAUUCAUAUUGAUUGACAAUUUAACGAAACAUAUACCAGACUGCAUGUAAAAUAAUUCAUGAUUACCGAAAUUACAGAUAGAAUCAUGUAAUUACCAUCUACAUUAUCAAGAAAGAAACAUAAUGUCAUUAUGUUGCUAACCACUCAUGAGGUCAACUUCUAAGUUAUUUGUCACUUUAAAUAUCAACUUUCUAAUAUGUUCAUCAAUAAGUUCACUUGACCAAAGACAUAAAGUAGCUUUACUACUAUAUCCAGCUAAGGGUAAAGCACUUAUCAUAACCCAAUUUUCCAACAGACUUACGCAAGGUAAGUUCAAAGCCGCGCCGUGCCUAAUAGCCCCGUGGUAGUGUACACUCCCCACGGCAUUCCACUUCGGCUCUCACUUCGUACAUGAGCGAACAACUGUCGCUAGGCUACUCGGGAGUGCUGGCUUGGGGGGAAGCGAUCCCGCAAGUGUAAACCGUAGUCCAAGGUACAAAUAUCACAACAACAUCAUGUCUCUGACAUGGAAUCUCAAGCCACUCCGGAGUGCGGGGCUAGGGGGGCGCGACCCCCGCAAGCGUGUACGAAAGAGCGUAAUGGCAUGCAAGCUGUCAUCCAUGGCACAAAUAUUCCAACUACAUCAUGUCUCAAACAUGGAAUCUCAACUCGACCCAAAGUCGAUACUGUAGUGCCCAAUCAUAAGUCACUAUCAACACUUGUUGACAUGAUUCUAUCAAUAGCUAGUUUAACUUGACAAGUUUAAACUUUACAUCAUACUAGUGACUCUAUCAGGCUAUACCUGGUCAGUCACUCAAAUCUCUCACUACUCCUUACACAUAAGGAAAGUGGUUUACUAAUGUCAUAUUCAAAGACUCAUGGUACAUAUCCUGUAGUCCAAUAUAAACCUCUACUUGAUCAUCCAAGUAUGUCAUCAUAUCCAAAUCUAGUUAUUUACUAGAUUAUAUUCAAUUGAAUAAUUAUUCAAGUUAUGCCAUCACAUGAAAUUCUAGUAACUUACUAGAACAUAUACUAUAAUAUGAAUCCAUCAUGUGAAGUAGAAACUAAUAGGAUAAUGCAAGCAAGUGAGAUAAGUGAUCGGAUACUCUUCACAUGAUCUCUAUGCCAUUCAUUUUACAAUUAAAUGCAUAUGCAAACAAAUGCCUUUCAGAGUUUAGCCAUUAUACUCGCUAUAUAACAUUACAUAGCUCAAUCUUAAGUACAUCAAUCUCUUUGUCAUUCAACCAAGUUAACUGGUACAUUCGUGAUCUUACCAUUAUAUCCACUUGAAUGAUAUCAAGUGAAAUUGCUUAUACAAGCUACUAAUAUCAUGCAUGCAUAGUAAUCCGACAAGUGGCUAUGUAACGAGAACCAAUCAUAAGUUUUCCAUUACUAUUUAGAAAUGCUAUCAUAUCCGAUAUGAUCUACUCAUUAAUGAAUGUCUCGACGCCUUGAACUAUACAUAUAUUCACCUGAAUAUGUACAAACUUCAACUCAGAUGUCAAAAGAGACAUAGAAGAAAUUCAACCAUUUCGUGAAGGUCAGACCCACCGAUAAACGACGUCUUUUGUCGAGUUCAUGUAGCUAAGCGAUCCGGGUAUUCCAGCUUCUCAGAUUGACACUUCACUUCCAGUAAAGGCUCCCAAUGUUCAUCUUAAAACCGACUUAAAUGUGUCCUGAAAUGCAUCACAAUUGGGUCUUAAGCCCGCUGCGAAUUAACAAUAAAAACCGUAUUGAAAUUACGACUACAAGUCUAAUUUCGGCAAUUCCUCAAUUAUACUAAAUUGUGGCUUAAUUCCCUGUUUGGUGUUCAGUUUAAUACCUCAAGUUUAGCCUCUAAAGGCUCUUUGAUGUCAACCAAAGAUGAUCCAAAGGUCGGUUGCGCUCUCGCUGCGAACAACACCAAAACGACAUCAAUAAACUUAUAUACAAGCUACUAUAGUCGCAUCUUUGUGAAAUUAGGUUUCUACUUGAAAUUCCAGCUUACCUCAGGUUAGAACACCCUCAAAACCAGUCCCCAAGAUCACCAAAUAAACUCAAUUUACUUCGGAAACCUGCUGCGAAGACAUCAUUCCAAACAGUAUCAAUUUACCCAAUUCGACUUCAUAUAAUCCCGAAAUAGAGUCAUAACUCACUAGUUAUCUUUAUCAAGCUUUAAAGGAACUUUUCCCUGAACGAAAGGCAUAUAAAUCACAGCCAAAUCACCUUUUUCUACUGCUGAAAUUCUCUUUUAAUUCAGCUAGGAGCAAAAGAAUCAAAACGAUUCAAAAUCCGAUACUAAAUCUGAAACUAGAGAGAUUUUAAGCCAUAUACCUUUCGACAGCUGAAAUUCAGCUUCUCUAAUAAUAUACUCACGAAAAACUCAGUGAAACACCACCUCCCCACGUUCCAAGAGCUUCCUUCAAGUCUCCAGGUCAGCAAACAUCAAGCGGAACGCGAAAUCGACGCGAAUCGGCGACUUUCUCGUAGAGAGAGAAAAACCCUAGAGAGAGAAAGAGGGAGAAGGUGGGAGAAGCUUUUUCAGAACUCCAGCAUGUUUAUCUGAACAUCAGGGGUCGAGCAGGGAGCUUGUAGAUAAGCUUAGGUAGUGAAAUGACCAAAUUCUCCCUGCUGCCACGCAGUUGCUGCAACUGCUGCUUGCUGUACCGGUACAGCAUUGAUGUUGUACCGGUACACAAUGCAAAAAUUCGAGAGAAAGCCACAGCAAUGCACUUUCUUGCUUUUAGCCAUCCAAUCACUCUCUAACUUAAUCAGAAACUUAUCCAAACCCUUUAGAAUAUGUAGGGCAGUUUCAUUUACCAUUUCCCACCUUCGAACUUCGUAAUUGACCAAUUUCAGAGCAUUGCAAUAGGAUAAUGCACUUGCAAUGCACUUUUCCACUUCCAGAUAUCUGCUUGCUCCAGUAAUUUGCUAAAGCCUCUCAACAAUCCUACAAAAGUUGUAGAAGAGUUCCAAUCACUAUUCCAACCCUCAAAUUCACAGUUUGCCGAAAUUCAGUGUAUUACAUUACUGCUUUCAGUUUCAUAUUCCUAUAUAUCUGCAUAUCUAUCUGUGCCUGCUUAGACCUAGUGGGGAGAUCGGCGGAGUCGGCGGCCGAACCCACUGGGAACUAUUCGUAGUUCUGACUCCACCAUGUUGCAGGUCCGAGUUCGAGCGCCCCUAGUGAGGAUUGCAGCAAGGGCGUAGCGCCCUAGUGAUAUUAGCAGAGGCUACCUUUCUUUAUGCAUUAGUUGCACCCUGUACUUAUUUGAGAAUAGAUUGUUGUAUAGGGUGAGGUUUUGAGAGAAUUGUAUAUACAUUGUACAAGUUUGGAAGAAUGCAAGUGUAAUAAUUGUAUAAAGUUUAAUGAGUUAAUAGUUAAGUACAUCUCUCUCUCUUAUCACUUGUAUGCAUUACAUGUGUUGCUUGCUCUUGAUUGUUAAGCACUGUUUGUGCUCUCGUGGUUGUUGUAUGAUUGUGUAUGUAUUCAAGUUGUAUCCUGGGAACUUGUUGUAUACAAUCUAGUUGUUCGAGCCUUGGGCGGAUAGAGGAGGUGCUGUCCGUUCGGCGGUCCGUUCGCCGCGCCCGAACCGGACCAAAUUGGUAUCGACCUCGGGGCGGGGGCGUGACAAUAAUGGCAUGAUAAAGAACUUGAAUAUUGUGGCUUUGAUAGGGGUAAUUGACAUGAAAAUGUGAACUUGUGGCAUUAGCUAGAGACAAACUCGACAUUGUGACAUUAGCUAGAGGCAAUGUGAACUUGUGGCAUUAGCUAGAGACAACUCGACAUUGUGGCAUUAGCUAGAGGCAAUGUGAACUUGUGGCAUUAGCUAGAAACAAUGUGACUACUCGGAUAUGAGGAUUGGGACUGGUGUUGUUCCCGGAUUUGAUUACCACUAGUUGGUAAGGUAUCCUCGGGCUAGAGGAUUGGAUCAUACUCACAUUCGUCCGUUAGCUUGGCAGUGGUAGCUCCACCCAAGCUGUGGUCUUCAAAGCACUUCACGUUUAGGGACAGACGUAGUUGUCCCGCAGACGGCUCCGGGUGAGCGUAGCGGACGUCUCCUCACAAUGCGCGAUUGGGUUAUGGAAACAAGACAAGUGGCAUGCAUCAUGAGCAUACUAGUUGGUACUUCUUGUUUACCUUACUUGCUUCUCAUUUCAUAUUGCAAAGGCAUAGUAGCAUGCUAGAUGUUUAUAUGUUUAUCGCUAACCCUUUUACUACUUAUGCCUGCUUAGACCUAGUGGAAAAAUCGGCGGCAUCGGUGGCCGAACCCACUGGAAACUAU
rnacentral:lncRNA from 1 species